rnacentral:rRNA from 1 species
UUAAUUGAAGAGUUUGAUCAUGGCUCAGAUUGAACGCUGGCGGCAGGCCUAACACAUGCAAGUCGAGCGGCAGCGACAUAAACAAUCCUUCGGGUGCGUUUGUGGGCGGCGAGCGGCGGACGGGUGAGUAAUGCCUGGGAAUAUGCCCUGAUGUGGGGGAUAACCAUUGGAAACGAUGGCUAAUACCGCAUAAUCUCCUUUCUUUWRSKAGARGGGAGCAAAGAGGGGGACCUUCGGGCCUCUCGCGUCAGGAUUAGCCCAGGUGGGAUUAGCUAGUUGGUGGGGUAACGGCUCACCAAGGCGACGAUCCCUAGCUGGUCUGAGAGGAUGAUCAGCCACACUGGAACUGAGACACGGUCCAG